GCGGGGAUGGCGGAAUUGGUAGACGCGCUAGCUUGAGGUGCUAGUGGUGAAAGCCGUGGCCGUUCAAGUCGGCUUCUCCGCA
rnacentral:tRNA from 2 species